UACGUAGGGGGGCAAGCGUUGUCCGGAUUUAUUGGGCGUAAAGAGCGUGUAGGCGGCCAGGUAGGUCUGCUGUGAAAACUCGAGGCUCAACCUCGAGACGUCGGCGGAAACCAUCUGGCUAGAGUCCGGAAGAGGAGAGUGGAAUUCCUGGUGUAGCGGUGAAAUGCGCAGAUAUCAGGAAGAACACCCGUGGCGAAGGCGGCUCUCUGGGACGGUACUGACGCUGAGACGCGAAAGCGUGGGGAGCGAACGGG
rnacentral:rRNA from 1 species